rnacentral:rRNA from 1 species
UACGUAGGGUGCAAGCGUUAAUCGGAAUUACUGGGCGUAAAGCGUGCGCAGGCGGUUUUGUAAGUCUGUCGUGAAAGCCCCGGGCUCAACCUGGGAAUUGCGAUGGAGACUGCAAGGCUUGAAUCUGGCAGAGGGGGGGUAGAAUUCCACGUGUAGCAGUGAAAUGCGUAGAGAUGUGGAGGAACACCGAUGGGCGAAGGCAGCCCCCUGGGUCAAGAUUGACGCUCAUGCACGAAAGCGUGGGGAGCAAACAGG